rnacentral:rRNA from 1 species
GUUUGAUCAUGGCUCAGGAUGAACGCUAGCGGGAGGCCUAACACAUGCAAGUCGAACGGGAUUGGGAGCUUGCUCCCAUGAGAGUGGCGCACGGGUGAGUAACGCGUAUGCAACCUGCCUUUAACAGAGGGAUAGCCCAUAGAAAUGUGGAUUAAUACCUCAUAGUUCUUUUGUUCCGCAUGGGAUGAAAGAUAAAGCUCCGGCGGUUAAAGAUGGGCAUGCGUGACAUUAGCUAGUUGGUAAGGUAACGGCUUACCAAGGCAACGAUGUCUAGGGGUUCUGAGAGGAUGAUCCCCCACACUGGUACUGAGACACGGACCAGACUCCUACGGGAGGCAGCAGUGAGGAAUAUUGGUCAAUGGGCGCAAGCCUGAACCAGCCAUCCCGCGUGAAGGAUGAAGGCCCUAUGGGUCGUAAACUUCUUUUAUACACCAAGAAAAAGCAGGACGAGUCCUGUCCCGACGGUAGUGUAUGAAUAAGCAUCGGCUAACUCCGUG